AUUGAACGCUGGCGGCAUGCUUUACACAUGCAAGUCGAACGGCAGCACGGACUUCGGUCUGGUGGCGAGUAGCGAACGGGUGAGUAAUACAUCGGAACGUACCCAGUAAUGGAGGAUAACUAUCCGAAAGGAUAGCUAAUACCGCAUACGCCCUACGGGGGAAAGAGGGGGAUCGCAAGACCUCUUGUUAUUGGAGCGGCCGAUGGCUGAUUAGCUAGUUGGUAGGGUAAAGGCCUACCAAGGCAACGAUCAGUAGCGGGUCUUAGAGGACGAUCCGCCACACUGGAACUGCGACACGGUCCAGACUCCUACGGGAGUCAGCAGUGGGGAAUCUUGGACAAUGGGCGCAAGCCUGAUCCAGCAAUGCCGCGUGCGUGAAGAAGGCCUUCGGGUUGUAAAGCGCUUUUGUCAGGGAGCAAAUCCUUGUGGCUAAUACCCACCGGGGAUGAGAGUACCUGAAGAAUAAGGACCGGCUAACUACGUGCCAGCAGCCGCAGUAACAC
rnacentral:rRNA from 1 species